rnacentral:lncRNA from 1 species
GCGAUUCCCCCCACCGCUCACUUUCCCUCUCUCUUUUAUUGACCGGUCAACCCUUAUCCCUUCUCUCUCUCUCUCUCUCUCUUUCUUUUUCUUCUUCUUCCUCCGCACGCUCGACCGAACCAGCUUCUUUCUCCUCCUUCUUUUCUUCGCGUGCGAACCAGAAGCCCGGAGCAGGAGCAGCGCAGCUCGUCGUCGCCACCGUCCCGCCGCCCGCACCCGCGCCGCGCCCAUGCGCCCGCCGCCAUCCCACCGUCCGUCGCCGCUGCCGCUCCUCCCUCCGCGCGAUCCAGCCAACCCAGCCCCUGUUCCGCACCGACCAGCCACCGUCCGGCCACCUCCGGCCACCGCCCAACCUCGCCGGACCACCCCCGCGACCCCCUCGCCCUCCGCCGGCUUCCCCUCGCCGCCCUAGCCGCCGGAGCGGCUCCGUUCAGCCCCGACCAGCAAGACCCACGGAGUGGGUUUCAGCAGCUUCGGGCCCGCUUUUGGGCCGUUUCCAGGCCCCGGAUCCGCGAGUCGCUUUGGGAACAAUCGUUCCUCGCGUCACCGCCGUCGGAUUGAUCCAAUUUGCGCGCGAAUUGGUGAGUAAUCUCACUAAUCUUGGAUUAGUUAACUAAUUAUGCUUAAGGUUGGUUUAGAUUUAAUUAAUUAUGUUUAGGUUGUUAGAUUAGAAUAAAUUAGCAAUUAUUAGCCAAUUGUGAUGUGAUUUAGAUAAAUUGAUUGUGCAAUUAACAAGUAGACGUGGUCUACUAUUUAAUGGAAGCAUCUCGGGAAUUUUCCGACCCCUAAUCGGGCUUCAAUUUGGCGAUUCGGGCCUAAGUGGGAUUUUUGGCAUUUAAAUAUUAAUUUUCGGAAUUAAAUUAAAUAAUUAUUUAUUUCCCGAAAAUUCAAGGGAGAUGGUCCGGAACCGGAAUAUUAUGCAGAUGACUGUGGUGAAGUCCAUUUAUUUAAUCGGGCUUUAUUUUGAGUUAAAUUGAAUUAUUAAUGUUAAUUAUUUAAUUUCCGAAAUUAAUUAAUUAAUUAUUUAUUUUCCGAAAAUUCAACUGGGAUGGCCCGUGAUCGGAAAUUUAUGCUGAUGACCGUGGUGAAGUUCGUUUAUUUAAUUGGGCCUUAUUUUGAGCUAAGCGGAAUUUUUAAUGUUUAGUAAUUAAUUUUCGAAAUUAAUUAUUAAUUAAUUAUUUUUCAGAAAUUAAGAAUAAGAUGGUCGACGGCCGAAAUCUCAUGCUGAGUAUCGUGGCGCAGCCCGUUUAUUUAUUUGAGCUUUGAAUUGUGCCAAAUUGAUUUAAUCGUGGAUAUUUAGGAUGUGUUCCUAAAUUGAUUAUUUGGGUAAAUUGAGUAUGAAUUAAGGUUGUGAAUAAUUACUUUAGAAAUGAAAUGAAUCAUCAUGAAAGGCACGUGGCUCGAUGAUUAGUACGUCGCCUUGGAGAAUGCAUGUGGCUCGGUGAUUGGUUCUAUUAGUUAUAACUGAAUAGCAUUAUAUUUAUCAGCUUUGGGUGAGCAUAUGGUAUACUAUAUCGGCCUUCGGGCGAUAUGUCAGCUUUGGGUGAGCAGUAUACCAGUAUACUAUAUCGACCUACGGGCGAUAUGUCAGCUUUGGGUGAGCAGUAUACUUUAUUAUCAGCUUUGGGUGAUCAUAUGGUAUAUUAUAUCGGCCUUCGGGCGAUAUGUCAGCUUUGGGUGAGCAGUAUACCAGUAUACUAUAUCGACCUACGGGCGAUAUGUCAGCUUUGGGUGAGCAGUAUACUUUAUUAUCAGCUUUGGGUGAGCAUAUGGUAUACUAUAUCGGCCUUCGGGCGAUAUGUCAGCUUUGGGUGAGCAGUAUACCGGUAUACUAUAUCGACCUUCGGGCGAUAUGCUAGCUUUGGGUGAGCAAUAUACCUUAUUAUCAGCUUUGGGUGAGCAGUCCUGAUUUGAUAGGACUUUAUAGAUAGUAUUGAAUAUGCCGACCAAGCAUGGGUCGUGAUGUCAUGUAAUCGACUAGGUCGAUUGAUCAUUGUUUUGAUAUGAUGCUAUGAAUUGAUUGACUGGAUGGAAAUGACCGUGAGUGGUCUUGUUGACAUGUAAUUGACUAGGUUGAUUUGAUCGAUGCUUCGAUCUGUGAAGUGAUUGCUUGAGCGCCUAUUGUGAAUUGUACUGACUUGCAGGUGGGAUCUGAUGCUAAGGUAUGUCUUCUGACCUAUGCGUGUUUAGGCAGCCUUUAGUAUAAUGGUUUACUAAUUGGGCUUAGUGGGGUAGAACUCACUGAGACGUAGUCUCAUCCCAGUUUGGGGAAAACAUUUCAGGCCCCGUUGAGGAGCUGAGGAGGAAUCUGAGAAGGAGAACUCGGAGGUGAAACCUGAGUAGAAGGAUUUUGGAAGAAGAAGAUAAUCCCGAGAGGGGCCUUGAGUAUGACCUGGAUGGGCUGAGAGUCUAUCUUCUUUUGAGAAUUCAUUUCGAUGUGAAUAGUUAUGAAGUGAUUUGUGUUUUGUAUAAAAGUUUGGUUAUAAAUUUCAAUAUGAAAAAUAUGGCCCUGCUUUUCUAUCCUAUCGUUUUAUUGUCUGGGGAUUUUAACUGCUUCCGCAUGUGCUUAAUAAA